AAAGAUUUAGUUAAACUACUUAUAACAUUUAAAUGUCAUUUAAAAAUUAUUAAUUAAUUAAUAAUCUUUG
rnacentral:tRNA from 1 species